GAUGAACGCUGGCGGCGUGCCUAAUACAUGCAAGUCGAGCGAACGGACGAGAAGCUUGCUUCUCUGAUGUUAGCGGCGGACGGGUGAGUAACACGUGGAUAACCUACCUAUAAGACUGGGAUAACUUCGGGAAACCGGAGCUAAUACCGGAUAAUAUUUUGAACCGCAUGGUUCAAAAGUGAAAGACGGUCUUGCUGUCACUUAUAGAUGGAUCCGCGCUGCAUUAGCUAGUUGGUAAGGUAACGGCUUACCAAGGCAACGAUGCAUAGCCGAACUGAGAGGGUGAUCGGCCACACUGGAACGGAGACACGGUCCAGACUCCUACGGGAGGCAGCAGUAGGGAAUCUUCCGCAAUGGGCGAAAGCCUGACGGAGCAACGCCGCGUGAGUGAUGAAGGUCUUCGGAUCGUAAAACUCUGUUAUGAGGGAAGAACAUAUGUGUAAGUAACUGUGCACAUCUUGACGGUACCUAAUCAGAAGGCCACGGCUAACUACGUG
rnacentral:rRNA from 1 species